GCUGGACAUGGUGGCGCAUGCCUGUAGUCCCAGCUACUUGGGAAGCUGAGUCAGGAGAAUUGCUUGAACCCGGGAGGCAGAGGUAGUGGUGAGCCGAGAUUGCGCCACUGCACUCCUGCCUGGGUGACAGAGCGAGACUCUGUCUCUC
rnacentral:SRP_RNA from 2 species